rnacentral:rRNA from 1 species
UACGGGGGGGGCAAGCGUUUGUUCGGAAUUACUGGGCGUAAAGGGCUCGUAGGUGGCCAACUAAGUCAGACGUGAAAUCCCUCGGCUUAACCGGGGAACUGCGUCUGAUACUGGAUGGCUUGAGUUCGGGAGAGGGAUGCGGAAUUCCAGGUGUAGCGGUGAAAUGCGUAGAUAUCUGGAGGAACACCGGUGGCGAAGGCGACAUCCUGGACCGGUAUUGACGCUGA